CCAAACUUGGUCAUUUAGAGGAAGUAAAAGUCGUAACAAGGUUUCCGUAGGUGAACCUGCGGAAGGAUCAUUAACGAGUUAGGGUCUCUCCGGCCCGACCUCCCAACCCUUUGUUUAUGAACCACCGUUGCUUCGGCGGGCCCGUCUCACGACCGCCGGAGGACCGUCAAACGUCCUCUGGCCAGUGCCCGCCGACGGCCAACCUUUCAAAACUCUCGAAUGAAUCGUGUUCUCUGAGUUUACCAGUUUUAAAAUCAAACAAAACUUUCAACAACGGAUCUCUUGGUUCUGGCAUCGAUGAAGAACGCAGC
rnacentral:misc_RNA from 1 species